rnacentral:pre_miRNA from 1 species
UUUGUACUCCCUCCAUCCCAAAAUUCUUGUCUUAAAUUUGUCUAAAUAUGGAUGUAUCUAGUUACAUUUUAGUGUUAGAUACAUGCGUAUCUAAACAAAUGUAAGACAAGAAUUUUGGGACGGAGGGAAUACUAC